rnacentral:sRNA from 1 species
GAGAACGUUGCCACUAAAGACGGAGAUGGCUUUGUUUGCUGUAAUUUUGGAACCCGUCAUGUCUCCCGGGGCCUGGAUUUGCCAUGUCUGGUACGAGUGUAGAGUAGAAGAAAUCUUGUCGUUCUGGUAGUAAUUUUGACCGCUGUAAGUGACGUUUAACCCGGAGUUUGGACCAAACUGCACCGUUACUGUCGUACUAUCAUAAAUACCGACCACCAGUAAUUCCGUUUUAUAGGUGGAAGGCCAGUACGUUACAAUGUAAUACGUCGUACUCAAAACGUCGACCGGAAGUGCCAGGAAGCCAUCGUUUGAGUUUGCCUCCUUGUUCAAACCAUAGACUAUGAUUUCAUCGGAACCUGUGACGAGGAUUCCUUUGCUACUUUUUCCCGAUCCCGCCAUUCUCAGGCUGUUGCUGACCAAUACCUGCUUUACAGUUCCAGCAGUCACGGUAAACGAUUGGCUGAUGGAAGGACUCGUCCAUUUUGGUGACGUCACAGACACGGUGAUCGCACCGGCUUUGUACGUUGUUACAAAUAUUUCUAGAUUGUAACUGGUGGCAUAGUUUUCCAUGAACCCGAUGACAAACUUGGUACCUCGGUUGUCGGGCGCACCUACAAUGCACACAAACAGUGUAUUACAUUUGUUAUGAUAUAAUAUUUAUAUGGUUCUUUGCGCGUUUCAGGAUCAUUAUAUACUAAUUAUAUCAGUUUGCUUUUUUCCAAGAACUGGUUUAAUGAGGUGUAUCCGAGCUUAACCUUUUGGUGAGCGCGGUAAAAAGAUGUUUUUUAAAAAAAAUUAUUUUCAGUGAAAUACGAGCAAUUCUGUUACAUACAUGUAUUUAUAAGAUUUUUCUUUCCCUCUGAAAACCAAAUUUUACAUGUUCUUGAUCGAUCUUCUCUUCAAAAAAACAUCAUAUCAAAUAAACGUAUCCGGAUUAUCUUUCACUUGAUUUUAAGUGAUAGGCCGAGAAAAUUUUCCAUUUCCACUUUCUACAUACACCCCAUUAAAGUACGUGGAAAAGAUAUGUCAAAUCUAAGAUAACAAAGAUUAUACAUGUACAUUGUGUAUUAUUGCUAUAAAUCUUAUAUAUUUUUUAGUCUUGUCUCUACAAGUACAUUAUACUGAUUUUUUGUACAUUAAAGAGUAAUAUUUAC